GACGAACGCUGGCGGCGUGCUUAACACAUGCAAGUCGAACGGAAAGGCCCUGCUUUUGUGGGGUGCUCGAGUGGCGAACGGGUGAGUAACCCGUGAGUAACCUGCCCUUGACUUUGGGAUAACUUCAGGAAACUGGGGCUCAUACCGGCUAGGAGCUCCUGCUGCAUGGUGGGGGUUGGAAAGUUUCGGCGGUUGGGGAUGGACUCGCGGCUUAUCAGCUUGUUGGUGGGGUAGUGGCUUACCAAGGCUUUGACGGGUAGCCGGCCUGAGAGGGUGACCGGCCACAUUGGGACUGAGAUACGGCCCAGACUCCGACGGGAGGCAGCAGUGGGGAAUAUUGCACAAUGGGCGGAAGCCUGAUGCAGCAACGCCGCGUGCGGGAUGACGGCCUUCGGGUUGUAAACCGCUUUCGCCUGUGACGAAGCGUGAGUGACGGUAAUGGGUAAAGAAGCACCGGCUAAGUACGUG
rnacentral:rRNA from 1 species